ACCGCAGUCACGCCAGCCCGUUAGAUUGCAAGUUGCAGGACCGCUGUAGGAAAUGUUAUUCGCCGCGGUCAGGACAGGCCUGUCCGCCCGCCCUCGCCGCAGCCUGGCUUCGUCGUUGCGAGCGCCGGGGAGGCCGUCCCCGGGGAGGGCGGAGGAAGGAGCUGACUUUGGGUUUGCGUCCCGCUCGCUGCUCUGCCCCGGGGCCAGCCAAGGACGACGCUUGGAGGCCUCAGGCCGGGGUGAGACUUACCCCUGCGUUUAUCCGCCUCACGCUCUCCCACCCUCCUUCCCUGUUUUGGAGCCCUGGCCAGGGAAACCGAGGCAAGGAAAGAGGACUGUGGCGGCUCUGCUGGAGAGAGAUCAUCUUCAGACACCAACGAAAGUGAAAUAAAGUCAAAUGAAGAGCCACUCCUAAGAAAGAGUUCUCGCCGGUUUGUCAUCUUUCCAAUCCAGUACCCUGAUAUUUGGAAAAUGUAUAAACAGGCACAGGCUUCCUUCUGGACAGCAGAAGAGGUCGACUUAUCAAAGGAUCUCCCUCACUGGAACAAGCUUAAAGCAGAUGAGAAGUACUUC
rnacentral:lncRNA from 1 species